GUGUCAGCCGCCGCGGUAAUACGAAGGGGGCUAGCGUUGUUCGGAAUUACUGGGCGUAAAGCGCACGUAGGCGGGUUGUUAAGUCAGGGGUGAAAUCCUGGAGCUCAACUCCAGAACUGCCUUUGAUACUGGCAACCUAGAGACUGGAAGAGGUUAGUGGAAUUCCCAGUGUAGAGGUGAAAUUCGUAGAUAUUGGGAAGAACACCAGUGGCGAAGGCGGCUAACUGGUCCAGCACUGACGCUGAGGUGCGAAAGCGUGGGGAGCAAACAGGAUUAGAUACCCUCGUAGUCC
rnacentral:rRNA from 1 species